rnacentral:tRNA from 3 species
GGGGUCGUGGGGUAGCUUGGUCUAUCCUGUCGGCUUUGGGAGCCGGUGACUCGAGUUCGAAUCUCGACGACCCCACCA